CGAACCGGGCCCGAACCCGCUGCCGGGGGCUGGGAGCUGCCGCUCGGCCGAGCCCCGGUCCCUGCCGCGGCUCCCGGGGCGGUGCCGUUAUUUCCGGCGGCUCGGCCCGGCCCGGCCCCGGCGCGCAGGGUAACGGAAAACGGCUGCUGCGGGCCCGGGAACCGCCGCCAAGGAGGGGGUGCCCGGCCGGGCGGCGCCGGUAGCGGCCCCGCCUGAGGGGCUGGGGGGCGCCGUGGGCCGGGCACGACACGUCGCGAUAGUGGCGCUGAGCGGUGCCGGGCAGCGGUCGCCGACCGGCGCGGAGCAUGGACCAGUCGGUCGUUAUCCAGGAGACCCUGGGGGAGGGUGCGACGUGCCGGAUCGCGGUGCAGGGCGUCCUGGCCGCGGGGGAGGCCACGGAGAGCCGGCUCCUGGGCCUGGUGGAGACCCGCCGCGGGCUCGCGAUCCACAUAUACACUCACCGGCGGAUGGCCAUCGAGGCUGAGGAUGUCUGCCUGGAGAAAGUCAUCCCCAUCACAGAAGGGUUUGCAGUGGAAGAAGUUGUCAUUGACACUGACCUUCAUGUCCUUGGCUGUGACGUGACUGUCCAGAUCAGUUCCGAACAUGAUGAACUCACGGUGCAGUUGCCUUUCGGUUCCCACACGCGCACGUUCCUGCGGGAGGUCAGCCGGUGCCAGGAAGAAGUGGUUAGCUCUGAAGGCGUCAAAAAGAACGGAAAAAAGCCUGUGGUUAGUCAGAACCGGAGCCGUGACAGCACUGAUAAAAGUGCUCCUGGGCAAAACAAACUCAAACCUGAAGUGACAACUGAAAUGGUGCGGUCCUCCAGCGUCAUGGUGUCAGACAAGGCUUCAAUCUUAUCAGAGCCAAAGUUUGGACUACGAGACACUAUUAUUAAAUCUCAGCUUCUACAACAGGUGGAUUCCUACACAUACAUCCAGAACUUCAGAUUUUUUGUGGGGACAUACAAUGUGAACGGUCAGUCACCCAAAGAAAGCCUCCAGCCUUGGCUGGCAUGCGAUGCCGAGCCUCCAGACAUCUACUGUGUGGGUUUCCAGGAGCUUGAUCUGAGUAGAGAUGCCUUGUUUUUCACUUACACACCGAGGGAAGAAGAAUGGUUUGAAGCUGUAACUGACAGUCUUCACCCAGAUGCCAAAUAUGCAAAGGUGAAACUUGUGCGGCUGGUGGGAAUCAUGCUUCUGUUCUAUGUGAAAGCAGAGCAUGCUUUGCACAUCUCCGAGGUGGAAGCUGGGACUGUGGGAACUGGAGUCAUGGGGAGGAUGGGUAACAAAGGUGGUGUUGCCAUAAGGUUUAAAUUCCAUAACACUAGCAUGUGCAUUGUGAAUUGCCACCUCGCAGCUCACAUGGAGGAAUACGAGCGGAGGAACCAGGACUUCAAAGACAUCUGCUCUCGGAUGCAAUUCUGGCAGUUGAAUCCAAAUUUGCCCCCUCUCACUAUUGGCAAACACGAUGUGGUCUUAUGGUUGGGUGACCUCAACUAUCGGCUGGAGGAUCUGGAUGUGGCAAAAGUGAAGCAGCUUGUAGAUGAGAAAGCAUUUCUAGAGCUUUGCCAGUAUGACCAGCUAAAGAGGCAAAUGAAUGCAAAUGCAGCCUUUGAAGGCUUUACAGAGGGAGAGAUUUCUUUCCAGCCAACAUACAAAUAUGAUCCAGGCUGUGAUGACUGGGACACAAGUGAGAAGUGUCGUGUUCCAGCCUGGUGUGAUCGGAUACUCUGGAAAGGGCAGAACAUCACCCAGCUGAGCUAUCGCAGCCAUAUGGCUCUGAAGAUCAGUGAUCAUAAGCCAGUUAGCUCCGUGUUUGAAAUUGGGGUGAAAGUUGUGGAUAAGGAGCUCUACCGAAAAGCCUGUGAGGAAAUAGUGCGCUCCCUGGAUAAGCUGGAGAAUGCCAACAUUCCCUCAGUGACCCUCUCCCAGAGAGAGUUCCAUUUUAAGGAUGUUAAAUACAUGCAGCUGCAGGUGGAGAGGUUUACAAUCCGCAAUGGACAAGUGCCCUGCCAGUUUGAAUUUAUCAGCAAACCAGAUGAGGACAGCUACUCCAAGGAGUGGCUCAUUGCUAAUCCCAGUAAGGGCUUUCUGCUCUCAGAUACUGAGAUCACAAUUGAACUGGAGGUGUUUGUUAAUAAAUCUACAGCUACACACUUAAACUCUGGAGAGGAAAAACUUGAAGAUAUCUUGGUCCUGCACCUGAUUAGGGGGAAGGAUUAUUUUCUAUCUGUAACAGGCAACUACUUGCCAAGUUGCUUUGGGUCUCCUAUUCAUGCGCUGUGUCACAUGAGGGUACCGAUCCAGGACAUGUCAGCAGAAUCCGUUCGGAAACUUGUGAGUUUAAGACAAGAUUGUCUUCUGAACCCACAAGAACCAUUAAACUAGAUGUUAAGUCUUUAUUGUUAAGGAGCCUUCUUCCACUUCCCUGGUCCAUAGUCUGAGAAUGCUGAUGCAGCUUGUGCUCUCCAGUGCACCGUCUGCACACCCUGCCUUAGUUCUUCACGUGGAGGAACCAACCCAUUUCAUAUAGAGAGCACUGGAAGUAAGAUCCAUUUGCUCUGCCUGCAUGUUUAAAAAAGACCCUGAUGCCACUAGAAAUGAGUGGUAAUGCUGUUCCAGCUGAAAAGCCAUUGGAAAUUCCAAAAGAGCUGUGGAUGAUGGUGGAUUACUUAUACCGCAAUGCUUCCCAGCAGGAGGAUCUGUUUCAGCAACCAGGCCUCAGAUCUGAAUUUGAGCAAAUCCGAGAUUGUUUGGACAAAGGAAUACACGAUACCCUCCAUGGCAGCAACCACUCGGUAGCAGAAGCCCUCCUGCUCUUCCUGGAAAGCCUGCCCGAGCCGGUCAUCUGCUCCAGGUUCUACAGCAGAUGUUUGGAGAGUGCCGACAGCUACCCUCAGAGCUGUCAGAUUAUCUCUAAGCUGCCAGCGUGCCAUAAGAAUGUGUUUGACUAUCUAAUGGCAUUUCUCCGAGAACUACUGAAAAAUUCGUGCAAAAACCAUUUGGAUGUGAAUAUUCUCGCUAGUAUAUUUGGUGGCUUGUUGCUUCGACCUCCUCCUGGACAUCCUCCACCUGAUAUAACUGAAAAGAGUAAAGCUCAGCAAUUUAUCCAUCAGUUCCUCGUGAUAGAAGACAAUCUACCAUGAAUCUCAGAUGCAGCUAAUCUUAUUUUUAGGUAUCAAAUUACUGUAAAAAUAUUGGGUUUGUACAGUAUAAUGCCUUUUUUUUAUAUAUAGCAUAGUAUUUUAUACAAUCUAUGGCUUUUGAAGGCACAGAGCAGGGAGCUUGAAUCAGCUGUCACUGUUUAAGCUGUAAAGUAUAUAAAAUUUCUAAAUAAGCUGUAUGUAGACAAGCAAAAAUAUAAAAGCUGAGACUUAACACUGUA